CUCCAGGAGAGCGGGAGAAAACGGAGAAGUGCAGCCUCACCAGUGGCUGAUGAGCGCUGCGCUAAGAUGGCUGCCAGAGGCUCGUGUAAACAACCCUGAGAAUGAAAGGAGCUACAUUUCUCCGGUCAGCCUGCCAACGAGCAGCAGCGCUGCGCAGCCACAAGCCCGAAGGCUUAACCCUUUGCCUCCCUUCCUCCAUCUGCCUGCCUACGUAUUUAAAAAACAAAAACAAAAAACGCUGUCUCUGUUCCACUGCAGAAUUUUGCAAAGAAUGUUGUGACCGUGUGCUCCUCCCGGGAGAUCGCUGGUUGUUAAGGAUGUCUUCCAGAAGUCUGCCAUUUCCUGCAUGAAAAAAGAUGAGGAUGAGACAAGCUGCUGUGCUCACUUAAGGCAUCCUCCAAAGACCCUUGGAUCAGACUGCGCUGAGAAAGAACAGCCGAACAUGAGCAUGUUUAUGUAGGCAGGGCAGAAAGAUCCCUUCCCCAGGCCUCCAGAAGCCAUCCAACACCAGAGACAUGCAAGACGUCGGCCUCGGAGGAACGCCUCCCCACAGUGCUGCAGGAAUGCAGACUAAAGGAAACUCACUAUUCUACAAAACACCACCCAACACCCCACACCCCCCCCCAACCCCUUACAGUUCUUCACCAACCGCCCUAACUGCCAAAGGAGAUCCUCACCAAAAUCAUUUCCUGCAAGUCAGGGGGGUCGGAGGCGAGAAGGGCCUCCUCCCUCUAAAACAACACAACUCUGCAGUAUCGCUCAGGUCCAGUUUUUCCACUCGGCAACUCCUUGACAAACGACUAUGAGGGUCCAGGAAAUGUCAGGUUGAGGAAAUGAGCUGGCCGUACUUUUGUGUGUGUGUAUGUAUACACUUUAAAAAAAAAAAAAGAAUGCCUGACACUAGUAUUACACAGGCCCGACAAGUUUCGUGUCUGCUCCUAACGACUCUCUAAAUGCUUCCAGUAAAUUGCUAACAAAACAUAAAUUGUUUUGGUUAUAAUUACAUACACUGCAGAUGACGUUUCAAACCAUGUUGCUGAGGUCGAGAAAAGCUGGCUCACCAAAGGCAUGUGUUUUUGGCCAAGGCCUAGUGAGGAAAGUGGUUAACUGGAGUGCAGCAAAAUAAUACCAUCUGCAUGCUCGCUAUUUAGUGUAUCCGACUCCCAGACGUAUGAUUUAGCCUAAUUUGGUUUCAACAUGAACAGUGUAUUUUUCUUUUCAGUUGGCCAGCUAUGGUUAGACUCUUGCAUCUCACUCGUAGUCCCUCAGAUAUUCCAAAGAUAUCCUUUAAGCUAUACACAAAGACAAGAACAUAAACCUAGCAAACAUAGCUUCAAAUCAUUCUGGCUGUCUGAGAGAGCUUGACUGCUGCACAGUACACAAACAGUUGUUACACAAGAGUCGUUUCCGCACGGUGGAAGUCCAGAAUUCUGCUUGUGCACGACUGUUGCCGUCACACACAACAACAAAACAUCUUUUUCAGCUGCUAUCUGACGUCAAGCGGACGGUGUUUACAUCUGGGAAACAUCAGCAGGGUCGAGUGUUUUUCUCUUUGUUUUGGUUCAGGGUUUUCCCCCCCUGGCAAGACAAUCAGUCCUGCCAGGACACGUUUGAAGGCAGCAUGGUGGACUUUGAAUGGAAAUCCAGAAGAAGGGGGAUGAGAGAAACACAAAAUAAAACAAACACCCAAGAUGAAUUGAAAUUAUCUGCCAAACAAAUGUACACGUCUGGACUGGAAAGGCUGCUAUUGGUUACACGACACAGAGGCAGAUUUAAAACAGGACACCCAUACCAAUUGGACUAAACGGAUGUAACAAAUAUACCACCGACGCAUGUGAACAGAAAUAGACCAGAGCAGCAAGCAACGAGUGGCCGACGGUGCUUCGUUCAUCACCGAGGGCAUUAGCAAUGGGAGGCUCGCCUGAUAAAGCGCUCACGGUCUCUAAGGAAACGAACAAACAGCUGUAAAUAUGUGUUCGGGCCCUCAAAUAAAAGGCUUGCCACCAUCCAUUACGAGGGAAUACAUGGCUAACCACACACACACACACACACACACAACCCUCUUGGCAGGUCAAGAUGCUGGUUAAUAAUAAAGACUGCCAUUUAUUUCAGAAAGGGCAUCACCACAGGGACCGGGCACCCUGGAUUGCCAUUACAUCAGUGACUCAGGCAGAUGGGCAAUCAAAUCACUCUCCAAAGGUUCACUAACCUUGCAGGUGCUCUGCUAGAGGUGCUUUUAAAAUAAACAUGAAGUGGAAAAGAAUACACAGGCAGCUUUUACAACAACAACAACAACAACAACAACAACAAGAAGAGAGAAGAAAAGAAAAGAAAAGAGAAGACGUUCUGCAUUCACAUAUCCUUGUGUGCACUGCACACAAAGAAAACCUUGCUCCAUUUGAUCAUUGACAGACAGUCCUAAGUCAAGCCAAACAUAUUUUUUCAAAGCUCAUUAUCUCAUGUGCCUGAAAGGGGUUCUCCCACAUCCAGGAUGGUAGAUUUAGAGCUGCUUUGAUCAGAACGCCAGGUGAAUAACUCCUUAGCUGUGUGUGUGUGUGUGUGUGUGUGUGUGUUGGAUGUUGGGGUAAACAUGACUUACAGUUCCAGGCGUACGCCUGAGAAUGACAUCAUGGCUGGGAAGAUAAGAAGGUGCUGUGGGAGUGCGCUGUCUGGGAUCAGGUCUCAGGCCUCCCACUGACAUUCCUCGGCCUUCACCCUUAAUGAGGAGAGGCCACGGGAAUUCCACCGGCUGCGGGGAUCGGAUAGGAAAAACAAUCCCUGUAUUGCUCUCCCAGAGCGAGCUUCGUUUUCACGAUCCCCCCCCCCCCCCCCCCCUCCCUCAGCUAUGCCUGGUGGUGGCAGUGGUGACUGGCUUUCAGUUUGUUUUUUGUCUUCUCUCCCCCUUUCCCUGAGAGCUGGGAGAACACAGUGGCGCAGUGAGUGGUGUGGGGGCAGGGGUGGCGUCGGGCAUGAAGAUGCCCAGACACAUGAGUGUCAGGCAGCAGCCCUAGGCCCACUUCAGCUUGGCACCAGACACAUCUCCCACUCGCCAGGGCGUCUGAGCAUGGGGGUGGACGGGAGGAGACGGUGAAGAGGGCACACAGGCGCAGACACACGGGCUCAGCCUGUGCCAGCUGAAAUGGACAUUAACGCUCGAGACAUCCCUUUUUUUCCCAGACGAGGAUUAUGUCAAGGCCAGGAGUAGACUAAAUACUGAACACUGAGACACAUAAAAUCUCGCCACACCGUAUUGAAUAUGUUGAUAUUUAGUGAAAUAUAUGUGGUGUCACACAUGUGACUGGAUCUUAGGUGCAAUUUGUGAUGCUAACUUUCCAAGAUGGUAUGGAGGUUGGCUCUGCAUCUUUCGAGACUGGCACAGAUAAUGUCAUAAUAUUUCCAACCAGAGAUCUGUGGGCACAAAUCCAUUCAGUGGGCACUCAC